rnacentral:misc_RNA from 1 species
AAUUAAUGAACUUCUUGUAUUAGGAUAUAGAUACUAAAUUUUGAAUAAAUACCCAGAUGAGUAAUCUUGCUUAAAUAACAUUACUAAUUAAGAAAACACAUCCUUACUAAUUAAGAAAACAUACACAUCAAUUGUUGUGUCAUGUAACUAUAUAAUUUUGUUUGUGAGUGGCUAAUUUUGGGACCUUAAGAAGACUAUGAUUACUUGGG